UAUUAUAUCUUAUAAUAAUGAUAUAAUAUCAAAUAUCCAUAUAAUUGUUAUCUAAUUUUGCCUGGGAGUUUUUCUUUGACUGAGUUCUUUCAUUCAUAACUUCUGAUCUGCACUCAGAAUUCACGAAGUCUGUUCACUUAUUUUUUAUUUCCAAUCAACUUUCUUCGAAAUUUAAAUUUUAAAAAAUGUAAAAAUUACAUUAAAAAAACGACACAGAACAAAACAAUCAUGAGAUAAGAAUGGCUUUGUGGUUAAGAAGAUAACUUUGCAACUUAAGGGUUCCAAGUUCCAAUCCUGCUGCAGGUGCAUCUUGGAAAACCAUCUUCUACUAAAGCCUUUGGUUGACUGCCUUGUGAGUGGAAUUUGGUAGAUGGAAACUGUGCUGAAGCCCAUUUGAGAUAUAUAGGUAUGUGUGUGUGUGUGUGUAUGUGUGUGUUUAAUUUUUGUGCCAUAUACUGGCAAAGAUUGUUAACAUUGGCAAAUAAAACCAAACCGGUGUACUUCAAAGUCCACCAAGUUACAAACCCCCUCUUGUCACCUUGAUUAUGAGGGAUACUGUGAACGAAUGACCAUCCUGUUGGAACACCCGUAACCAACAGCUCUAAUGUUGACUAACUGAGAUAUAAAAUUAACAAAUAAUUUUUGAUAUAUAAAUAAAUAUAUAUAUAUAUGUAUAUUGGGCUCUCGGAUAAAUUUGUUUUCGCUCUUUGUCUGAGAAGAUGUAAAAUUUAUUCAAAUUUCAAAAAUGGUAAACAAAACACUGCAAUAAAAAAUAUCUUUCCUGUUAAUUAAAAUAACAUUGGAAAGGCAAAAGAUGAACAAAUUUAUCUAACAACCCAAUAAACAUAUACGCAUACACCCCCACAUACAUGUGUGUGUGUGUAUACAUAUAUCUAUUAAUGCCAAUUAUUAUUGUGUUGAUAAUAAUGAUGAUAGUAAUAAUAAUAAUGAUGAUGAUGAUUACAGAAAAUAGUAAUAAUGACAUGAUAAUGAUUGCAGAAAAUUAUUGUAAUUAAAAAUAAGUUAACGAGUUUGUUUUCUGAAAAAGUCAUAUUGUUACAAAGGUGAUGAUGAUGAUGAUGAUGAUGACAAUAAUUAUGACUGUGACAAUUAAUGUCAUUUUGAUGAAGUUUAGCUGUGCUUUAAACAACUGUUGACCAUUCUCAAAGUUUUCAAGGAUGUGUGGGGGGCCAUGGGUCCAAAGAAACCAAUUUUUUUUUUUUUUUUUUUGUGUCAGAUGAUAACCUCCAACUGGGAUGAACAGAUAUCAAAAACACCUUCCUUCACCUUUGCCAACCUUAACCUCCAAAUUUUUGCCUCUCUCUCUCUCUCUCUCUCUCUCACUCACACACACACACACACACAAUUCUACAUCGGUGUGCUCCUGACCCCACCAAAUUCUUCUCUCAGUUUAUUACAACUGCUGUUUCAGUAUAUCAAUCAGCUGGUUUUUAUUUGGUGUCUGGAUUGUUUUACUAAUCACGUUUUCAUUUUCUUCAGUUUUAAAAAUAUUUUAAGGCCAACAAGAUUGAUCCAGUGGAAUUGUUAUGAUUGUUUUGUCCCAGAUCAGCCCUGAUCCUCCAGUACAACUUAUGACAAAAGACAUGCCACCACAACCAUCCAUAGAUAAGAGACUACUACUGGGUAUUUGACUAAAUUUAUUCACUUUUUACUAUUUAUUUCAAACCAUUUUGAGUGGAGGUGACAAAUGACAGUACCGUGAGCACAUCCCCCCCUCUGCUGGACCAGUUCCUUAAUGGAUUGGUGGUGGAUCCUCAUGGAUGAAUUCAUUCAAUUGAUCCUCGUUGAGCUGAACCUGUUGACGGAAACAUGGAGAGUCUGUAAGGCCAAAUUUCCUUUCAUUGAAGUGUGCAAACUGUUUCUGUGCAGUUCUUUCAGUAAUUGCCCCCUUCUUUAUACACAGCACAAAUAUCUCAAACAGCUUUUGGCAGCUUGACUGGAAGUGAAGAGAAACCAGUGUCAAAAAUGCUUUUUUGUUUGUUUUUGGAGGGUUUUUUUUUCCUUCUGCUCAACACUCGACCAUCAUAUGUCUGGAAAAAAGGAAAAAAAAUUUAUUUAAAUUUCCAAAACAAUAAAGAACAGUUUUAGAGGAAAAAACACAUAAAAACACUACGAUAAAAAUAUUUUUCAUGUUUACUCAAAUAAUGUUGGAAAGGAUUAAAAUAAGCAGAAAAAAAAAUGAACAAAUUCAUCCGAAUGAAUACUCAAAACAUUGUCCAAUGUUUCUAUCAUCAUUUAAGAAGAUAAGGUAGGAUUUGAGGGAAGUUCAGCUGUUAUGAUUACUAUUGUUCAGCCCCAAGCCAUCUCUGAUCAAGCAGGUUUUGAAUCAAAAGCAUUCCAUCCAUGACCAUCCUGUCUUUCUUGUAUCCAAUGAACUUAGGACACAUUGAAUAAUGUCAUUUCUGAGUGGUGGGGGGGGAUGAUUUGAGGGAGAUUUGGUGGCUAUAUCUAGUAGCAAAAGUGGUUAUAUCGAGGCUCUGUUGUUGGCUCAUGUUUUUGGUGUGAUUUUGUCUGUAUGAUGUUCUGGUGUAUAUACUGUGUGAUGUAUGAAAGGGUGUGUAUGUUGUAUUGUAUACUUGUUGCACGGUGUGGUGUAUAGAUGUGUUGUAUGAUAUAGUGUAUACGUUAUAUGCUUAUAAUGUUGUGUAUGUUGUGUGGAUGCAGCAUGGUUGAAUGGUUAAGAAUCCUGAGUCCCAGGUUCAAUCAAUUGCUUGAUAUUUUGGCCAAGUAUCAGUUUUUACAAUAAACUUGAGUCAGCCCAGGCCUUGUGAGUUAAACUUAGUAGACAGAAGCUGUGCUGAAGGAGUGUACCCAUAAUUCAAAAAGUCUACCUUUAUCACAUGCUAUGUCCAAGUGAUUGUCUUUGAGAAUAGCAUAAAGGCUACAUGUAUCUGUGGUUAUAUAAUAUUAAUAAUAAUAAUAAUAUGACGGACUCUCCCGUCGAAGAUGACGUAAGAGCGUUCAGCUUUUGUCCAACUACCUGCACAAAUGAUUUUGUUUAUAGUGAUCAAAUGUUCAUGCCACACAUUAGUUCACUCCCUCCGUCAAAUUGACAUUGCCUGGACUGGUGCACUGUGUGCCAUGGGUCAGGUGUUGAAGUGAUCGCAGAGAAAUGUGAGAUGAAGUGUUUUGUUCAAGAGCACAACACACCGCCCAGUCUAGGAAUUGAAAUCACGAUUUCGUGAUCACAAGUGCAACACCCUAAGAAAAGUGAAUAUUACCAGAAAAAGCAACUAAAUCUCUCCUCAGAGCAUGCCCUAUCUUCUUAAGCUCUAUUUUCUUAAAGAAAGGAUUCAAUGAAGUUGAUUACAAGGAAGAAAACGUUACAUACAACAUAAUGUUUCUGUUUCAAUUUCCUACCUUUCUCUAAUAUAACUAUUAUUUUAUUGUGUGCAUUUGUUUGGGGUUCUUUUCUUUUAAUAUAUAUACAUAUAUAUAUAUAUAUCUUCCUACUAUCAAUAUGCACAGAAGCAAUCUGAUGUUGUUACUUUAACCAGAAAGUAGAAACAAUAAAUGUAUUUUCUGUUACCAAUGAAAAAAAAAAAAAAA
rnacentral:lncRNA from 1 species